rnacentral:rRNA from 1 species
CAGUCGCCACGGUAAUACAGAGGAUGCAAGCGUUAUCUGGAAUGAUUGGGCGUAAAGCGCGCGCAGACGGAUGGGUCAGUCUGUCUUAAAAGUUCGGGGCUUAACCCCGUGAUGGGACGGAAACUGCUGAUCUAGAGUAUCGGAGAGGAAAGUGGAAUUCCUAGUGUAGCGGUGAAAUGCGUAGAUAUUAGGAAGAACACCAGUGGCGAAGGCGACUUUCUGGACUGUAACUGACACUGAGGCGCGAAAGCGUGGGGAGCAAACAGGAUUAGAUACCCCGGUAGUCCCUGUCUCUUAUACA